UGCCAGCAGCCGCGGUAAUACGGAGGGGGUUAGCGUUGUUCGGAAUUACUGGGCGUAAAGCGCGUGUAGGCGGUUCGUCAAGUCUGAUGUGAAAGCCCGGGGCUCAACCCCGGAAGUGCAUUGGAAACUGGCGAACUUGAGUUCGAGAGAGGUGAGUGGAAUUCCGAGUGUAGAGGUGAAAUUCGUAGAUAUUCGGAGGAACACCAGUGGCGAAGGCGGCUCACUGGCUCGAUACUGACGCUGAGGUGCGAAAGCGUGGGGAGCAAACAGGAUUAGAUA
rnacentral:rRNA from 1 species